UAACACUCCAACAUGUAUUUAUCCACUUUGAAAUUUGAAUGCUAACACUUGUUGUUCUUCAACUGACGAUGAUCAUGAUCAUUAGCUACACGCGUGUCAUCGUCGAUGCUAGCAGUAUCACAAAAGCCACGCAACAAGUUCACAUUUUUAUAUCUUAAUGUUGAUUCGGUUCGAAUGGCUCCAUUCCGAACUCAGCAACAUUUGUAGGCCCCUCUUGAGGGCGAAGCAGUUACACGCAUUUCUUUUGAAGACCCAUCUCUCAGAGGACCCCUUUUACGCAACAAAAAUCGUUAGGCUCUACGCAGCCAACAACGACAUUAACUCUGCCCACCAUGUGUUUGAUAAUACUUCCACCCGAAGUGUCUACCUUUGGAAUUCCAUGAUUCGGGCUUUUGCGCAGUCCCGAAGAUUUUCCAAUGCAAUCGCUCUGUUUAGAGCCAUGCUUGGGGCUGACAUUAGUCCUGACAGCCACACUUAUGCCUGUGUUAUACGUGCCUGUGCUGACAACUUUGAUUACGGUACGCUAAGACGUGUUCAUGGAGGUGCUGUGGCUGCAGAGUUGGGAAUGGACCCUAUUUGUUGCAGUGCACUUGUGACUGCUUAUUCGAAACUAGGCCUUGUUCAUGAAGCGCAUAGAGUGUUCAAUGGGAUCGCUGAACCGGAUUUAGUGUUGUGGAAUUCAUUGAUUUCUGGUUAUGGGGGGUUUGGUAUGUGGGAUGUAGGGAUGCAGAUGUUUAGCGCGAUGAGAGUUGUUGGGAAGAAGCCUGAUGGAUAUACACUGGCUGGGUUGCUUGUGGGUAUUGCGGAUUCUGGGGUGCUAAGUAUUGGUCAAGGAUUACAUUGUUUGAGUCAAAAGAGUGGCCUUGAUUCUGAUUCUCAUGUUGGUAGUUUGCUGGUGAGUAUGUACUCGAGAUGUAAGUGCAUGGCUUCGGCAUAUAGAGUCUUUUUAAGUAUUUUGAAUCCUGAUUUGGUCACAUGGUCUGCUCUUAUAGCGGGGUAUUCACAGUCUGGGGAGUAUGGGAAUCUGCUGCACUUUUUUAGGAAAUUAAACAUGGAAGGCAAGAAGCCAGAUUCUGUUUUGAUCGCUAGUGUAUUGGCUUCUAUUGCUCAGACGGUGAAUGUAGGACUUGGAUGUGAGGUACAUGGUUAUGCUCUUCGGCAUGGAUUGGAAUUAGAUGUCAGGGUCUCCUCUGCUCUAAUAGACAUGUAUUUGAAAUGUGGUUUCUUGCACCUGGGGAUUUGUGUUUUCAGGAUAAUGCCAGAACGGAAUGUUGUUUCGUAUAAUUCAGUAAUUUUAGGUUUUGGCUUGCAUGGGUGUGCUUCCGAGGCUUUCAGGAUGUUUGAUAAGAUGCUGAAGCAAGGACUGGUACCCGAUGAAGCGACAUUCUCUUCUCUCCUAUGUGCCUGUUGUCAUGCUGGCCUUGUCGAAGGUGGUCGAGAGAUUUUCCAGAGAAUGAAAGAUGAAUUUAACAUCAGAGCUAGGCCUGAGCAUUAUGUUUACAUGGUGAAGCUCCUUGGCAGUGUUGGGUUGUUGGAAGAGGCUUACAAUCUGAUCCAGUCCUUACCAGAACCAGUAGACAAGGCUAUCCUGGGAGCCUUAUUAUCAUGCUGUAAUUCUUGUGGAAAUUCUGAGCUUGCAGAAACUGUAGCACAGAAGCUUUCUGAAAGUAAUCCUGCUGAUAAUGUUAUGCUUUCUAAUAUAUAUGCUGGUGAUGGGAGGUGGGAUGAUGUGAAGAAGUUGAGGGACAAAAUGACGGGAGGUCUGAGAAAAAUGCCUGGACUAAGCUGGAUUCAAGGCAGUUACUGACUGACCGCUGUCAGAUAUAGAGAGGCUUCUCAGAAAGGUACCAGUAGAUCUUGUCAUUGAUCACUCAGUUCAGGUUGAUGCAGCAAGAUCAGAAAAUACUGUGCAGGCAAUGCAGCAAGAUCCAAAAUGUGUUUUCCAUCCAAAUGUGUUGCUCUUCGUGGGUGCAGUUGAUAUGUUUUGCGGGUUGUUUCAAGUUUCUGGAAGGCUGUAUUAGCUACAAAUAAAAUGCAUUUCGCUAGAGAUCAUUUUGAACCUUGAAGAGGCUUCUUAUGAGCUAUCGAGGAAACUGGAUGAAGAACUAAAGUAUGAAAUAUGACAUUGGGCUGCAUAUUAUGCAAGUUCAUUAUCAAUAUUAUGUUCCAUAGCAGUAGCUGGAAUUGGUAUGGCGAUGUCUUGUUUCCAAAGUGGUUCUUGGUUCUUCAUUCCCUUAAUUGAACCCAGAACAUAGGAUGCAUCUCGAACAAAAGGCAAUUAUCACAUUGAAGCUGCACGUCGUCAUACCUUUUGUAUCACGGACUUGCAUUUUCGGCUUGGCCCAGUGGCCCACCCAUGAUGUGUUUUUCUAACUAUGCUUCCUCCUCAAACCCCACAAUUUGAAUUUUGAAGGUAAUGUUUGGACCAACCAUGAAAUUGGUCAUUGCUGUAAAGAAGACUUUUGAACCGAGUCAUUCGAUUUCAGGGACAUGUAAAUGGUAACAAUAGAAAAUUAUAGUGUUUUUAGAUAGUCAUUGUUUAUUAUACACAUCAAUAGUUAGUGAGUAACAAUAAUGUGAGUAAAGGAUCAAGAGGUGAGCUAGAAGAUACCUGUGGCAAGACCAAAAAAAUAGUUAGUGAGUAAAGGAUUAAUGUCAGAUUAGUUUAAAUGGUGCAGCUUAUUUUUAAGCAUAUCUAUCAACAGUUCUAACUUAAUGUAGAUGUAAAGUAAAAGCUCUUUCAUGUAACUUAGCUAAGUUGAUUUUAAAUUACGGGAAAAACUCUAAUUUACUUUAGUUAUUUAUAGAGAAACUUGUACAAUCGGAUCUAUAUUUUAUUUUCCUAGAAAUAAAAUAGCCCUUUUUAGUUUCUUUUUAACUACUCAGACCUUCUGUUAA